UGUCCAGGAAUGGGAAUCGAACUCACAGUGUUCCGCUUAUUCCGCUUACCGGGCAGAUGCCAUGUCCACUAGGCUACCCUAGAC